GAUAAAGCGGCUAGAGAUAAUGAGAUGAGAUGAAUAGUAUAAAAAAGUAAUAAAAUAAAUAAAAAAGGAAAAAACACAGGCCAUGUAUGUACACAACAAAAUAAGAAAGGAACUUAAGAGUAUUACUUCACCUGAAGUAGUAAUAUUGCACUAAUUAAAUACUGGCAACUAAAAUAGAAAUAAGGGCAGCACGGUGGUGCAGUGGUUAGCGCUGUUGCCUCAUAGCAAGAAGGUCCGGGUUCGAGCCCCGUGGCCGGCGAGGGCCUUUCUGUGCGGAGUUUGCAUGUUCUCCCCGUGGGUUUCCUCCGGGUGCUCCGGUUUCCCCCACAGUCCAAAGACAUGCAGGUUAGGUUAACUGGUGACUCUAAAUUGACCGUAGGUGUGAAUGUGAGUGUGAACGGUUGUCUAUGUGUCAGCCCUGUGAUGACCUGGCGACCUGUCCAGGGUGUACCCCGCCUUUCGCCCGUAGUCAGCUGGGAUAGGCUCCAGCUUGCCUGCGACCCUGUAGAACAGGAUAAAGCGGCUAGAGAUAAUGAGAUGAGAAAAUAGAAAUACAAAUCUUGCACUAGGUAGUGAAUGUUAUUGCACAGCAUAAUAUAACUAACGAGGAUUUAUUUAUGAUGAGGUCAUGUCAUGAGUGAAAGUAAGAGUUCCUCUCACAUGCUUAAAACAGGAUAUACCUGUAAAUACAGGAAAAACCUGUAAGUAACUGCUGGCAUCGCCCAUAUCAGAUACAAGGUUUACUAUAUAAAGAUCACUGGCCAAAAGGAAAAUUUAUCAUAUAUGGGAUUUAGAAAAUUACUACCUUGUGUUUUUACAAAAAAAAAAAAAGAAAAACAAAACUGAAAAGCUUAGACAGGUCACACACACACAUCACCCUAAUAAAGUGUCUUCAUACUAAACUGGGCCACCACAAGCUGUUAAUUGCUUCAACACACCUUGACAUGGACUCUCCAAUUCUCUGGAACUGUAUUACAGAGAUAAACAGUCUUUCAUAAGGUGUUCAACUGGGUUGAGAUCUUGUGACUGAAGGCUAUAGCAUGUAAUUUACAUGAUUACUCAUCUAAUUAUUCAGAGCUCUUGUGCCCUGUGGAUGAGUACGUCACCCUGGAAGAGACUGCUCCCAUCAUGACGAAAAAGCUUCAUGAUGGCAUAAAGAUGUUAUUGCAGAUCGGAUAAAAGUCAAGUCAACACAAAAGCAGACUUUGGCAGCCAGGAAGAAUCCAUUAUUUGUCAAGAAUGAGCACCAGCCUCAACAUAUACAACAGCAGAAGAUUUAAGUAUUAUAUAAUCAUUAUGCAUAUGAACAUUAUAGUAUAUUUAAGCAUUAAACAAAAUUACACAAUAA